UACGGGGGGGGCAAGCGUUGUUCGGAAUUACUGGGCGUAAAGGGUGCGUAGGCGGUCUGUUAAGUUGGAUGUGAAAACUCUGGGCUCAACCCAGAGCCUGCAUCCAAAACUGGCAGGCUAGAGUUCUGGAGGGGGUAGCGGAAUUCCCGGUGUAGUGGUGGAAUGCGUAGAUAUCGGGAGGAACACCAGUGGCGAAGGCGGUUGCCUGGGGCUUUGGCUGACGCUGAUGCGCGAAAGCGUGGGGAGCGAUCCGG
rnacentral:rRNA from 1 species